rnacentral:rRNA from 1 species
CCUACGGGCGGCUGCAGUGGGGAAUAUUGGACAAUGGGGGCAACCCUGAUCCAGCCAUGCCGCGUGUGUGAAGAAGGCCCUCGGGUUGUAAAGCACUUUCAGUGAGGAAGAACGCCUGGUGGUUUAUACCCAUCAGGAAAGACAUCACUCACAGAAGAAGCACCGGCUAACUCCGUGCCAGCAGCCGCGGUAAUACGGAGGGUGCGAGCGUUAAUCGGAAUUACUGGGCGUAAAGCGCGCGUAGGUGGCUUGAUAAGCCGGUUAUGAAAGCCCCGGGCUCAACCUGGGAACGGCAUCCGGAACUGUCAAGCUAGAGUGCAGGAGAGGAAGGUAGAAUUCCCGGUGUAGCGGUGAAAUGCGUAGAGAUCGGGAGGAAUACCAGUGGCGAAGGCGGCCUUCUGGACUGACACUGACACUGAGGUGCGAAAGCGUGGGUAGCAAACAGGAUUAGAUACCCUUGUAGUC